rnacentral:rRNA from 1 species
CCUACGGGAGGCAGCAGUGGGGAAUAUUGGGCAAUGGGCGCAAGCCUGACCCAGCAACGCCGCGUGAAGGAAGAAGGCUUUCGGGUUGUAAACUUCUUUUCUCAGGGACGAAGCAAGUGACGGUACCUGAGGAAUAAGCCACGGCUAACUACGUGCCAGCAGCCGCGGUAAUACGUCGGUGGCAAGCGUUCUCCGGAUUUACUGGGUGUAAAGGGCGUGUAGGCGGGGACGCAAGUCAGAUGUGAAAACCAUGGGCUCAACCUGUAGCCUACAUUUGAAACUGUGUUUCUUGAGUACUGGAGAGGCAGACGGAAUUCCUAGUGUAGCGGUGAAAUGCGUAGAUAUUAGGAGGAACACCAGUGGCGAAGGCGGUCUGCUGAACAGCAACUGACGCUGAGGCGCGAAAGCGUGGGGAGCAAACAGGAUUAGAUACCCUAGUAGUC